rnacentral:tRNA from 1 species
GUGGGUAUAGCUCAGUAGUAGAGCAUGUGCUUAGCAUGCACGAGGUCCUGGGUUCAAUCCCCAGUACCUCCA